rnacentral:rRNA from 1 species
GAGUUUGAUCGUGGCUCAGAUUGAACGCUGGCGGCAGGCUUAACACAUGCAAGUCGAGCGGGGGAGAUUGCUUCGGUAAUUGACCUAGCGGCGGACGGGUGAGUAAUACUUAGGAAUCUGCCUAUUAAUGGGGGACAACAUCUCGAAAGGGAUGCUAAUACCGCAUACGCCCUACGGGGAAAGCAGGGGAUCACUUGUGACCUUGCGUUAAUAGAUGAGCCUAAGUCGGAUUAGCUAGUUGGUGGGGUAAAGGCCUACCAAGGCGACGAUCUGUAGCGGGUCUGAGAGGAUGAUCCGCCACACUGGGACUGAGACACGGCCCAGACUCCUACGGGAGGCAGCAGUGGGGAAUAUUGGACAAUGGGGGGAACCCUGAUCCAGCCAUGCCGCGUGUGUGAAGAAGGCCUUAUGGUUGUAAAGCACUUUAAGCGAGGAGGAGGCUCCUGUAGUUAAUACCUACAGAGAGUGGACGUUACUCGCAGAAUAAGCACCGGCUAACUCUGUGCCAGCAGCCGAC